rnacentral:lncRNA from 1 species
AGAAGAGCAAGAGAUACAGCACUCUUUUGUCCAGACCAUGGGAAACAAGAGUAUUUGAAACUUCUUGGACUGACUUCCACUAUUUAAGUUACUUGUGAUGUCUUAAUUUUUUUUUGGCUAAUUUUUAUUGGAUACCUCAAUCACCUGUGGUUCAAGGACAGUUAAGCAAUGUGGAAAAGCUGGGGGCAAAGAUGAUCCUGUGGCCAGAAUGUUUAAGUCCUACUAAAAUUAACAUAUGGCAAUCAUACUACCAAAGAUGACAUUUACAAGUGGAUUCUUUGUGCAGGCAGGUUGAUGAUGAUCCCUCUCUCCUGAUCCAGGAUGGAUGGAUGUCCUCUGCAUACCUGUUCUCAGGUCUGUGCUCUCUGCUGACACCAGUACCAACUAGCUAACCAUGCUGGAGAAUUUUUCUGCAAUAAACUCUCUAAAUCCUACAGAUACACUCAUCUCUGUAUCCAUGGUACUGACCAAUGUCCAAAUAGAAAAUGAGUUAGAACGC